AAUUAUACGGCGAAACUGCGAAUGGCUCAUUAUAUAAGUUAUCGUUUAUUUGAUAGCACCUUACUACUUGGAUAACCGUGGUAAUUCUAGAGCUAAUACAUGCUGAAAACCCCGACUUCGGAAGGGGUGUAUUUAUUAGAUUAAAAACCAAUGCCCUCUGGGCUCUCUGGUGAUUCAUGAUAACUUCUCGAAUCGCACGGCCUUGCGCCGGCGAUGGUUCAUUCAAAUUUCUUCCCUAUCAACUUUCGAUGUUUGGGUAGUGGCCAAACAUGGUUGCAACGGGUAACGGAGGGUUAGGGCUCGACCCCGGAGAAGGAGCCUGAGAAACGGCUACUACAUCCAAGGAAGGCAGCAGGCGCGCAAAUUACCCAAUCCCGACUCGGGGAGGUAGUGACAAUAAAUACUGAUACAGGGCUCUUUUGGGUCUUGUAAUUGGAAUGAGUACAAUUUAAAUCCCUUAACGAGGAACAAUUGGAGGGCAAGUCUGGUGCCAGCAGCCGCGGUAAUUCCAGCUCCAAUAGCGUAUAUUAAAGUUGUUGUGGUUAAAAAGCUCGUAGUUGAACCUUGGGCCUGGCUGGCCGGUCCGCCUCACCGCGUGCACUGGUCCGGCCGGGCCUUUCCCUCCGUGGAACCCCAUGCCCUUCACUGGGCGUGGCGGGGAAACGGGACUUUUACUUUGAAAAAAUUAGAGUGCUCCAGGCAGGCCUAUGCUCGAAUACAUUAGCAUGGAAUAAUGAAAUAGGACGUGCGGUUCUAUUUUGUUGGUUUCUAGGACCGCCGUAAUGAUUAAUAGGGACAGUCGGGGGCAUCAGUAUUCAAUUGUCAGAGGUGAAAUUCUUGGAUCAAUUGAAGACUAACUACUGCGAAAGCAUUUGCCAAGGAUGUUUUCAUUAAUCAGGAACGAAAGUUAGGGGAUCGAAGACGAUCAGAUACCGUCGUAGUCUUAACCAUAAACUAUGCCGACUAGGGAUCGGACGAUGUUAUUAUUUGACUCGUUCGGCACCUUACGAGAAAUCAAAGUGCUUGGGCUCCA
rnacentral:rRNA from 1 species